UACGAAGGGGGCUAGCGUUGUUCGGAUUUACUGGGCGUAAAGCGCACGUAGGCGGAUCGUUAAGUCAGGGGUGAAAUCCUGGAGCUCAACUCCAGAACUGCCUUUGAUACUGGCGAUCUCGAGUCCGGAAGAGGUGAGUGGAACUCCUAGUGUAGAGGUGGAAUUCGUAGAUAUUAGGAAGAACACCAGUGGCGAAGGCGGCUCACUGGUCCGGAACUGACGCUGAGGCACGAAAGCGUGGGGAGCAAACAGGG
rnacentral:rRNA from 1 species